CUCCUUUCUAAUUACCCCAUUGUUCCCAGUUUAUAAGAGGAAAGUAGACCCCUUAGUUGGGCGAUUUUUGUAACUUGUGGUCGUGCAUUGACGCUUGCAGCAGGAGGAUCAUAGCUUGGCAUGUCAGGUAUAGGAGCUUCUUUUGCUUUGCGUUGGGGAAAGAGCGGAGUACGAUCGUAACAAUUGUGUAUAAAUCGUCUUAAUGCUUGUAGCUUCCAUGAUACUUGUAAAUUUUUCUUUUGGGGUUGUAAAAUUUCUUUUGUAUGGAGCCAUGUGACUCCUCGUAUGAUCCAUAGAUCCGCUGCGUAGUUUUAGAUGUACAGUAGGGAGAAUACUCCUUUAGUAUCCGUCAGAUCGAUGCGUUAACACUGGAACCACGAUCCUCGUUAGAGUUGAAGUUUUGUGAAGCCGACGAUGAUUUGUUCCGUCGUGACGUAUUCUUUUGAAAGGCGUUAUAGGCCUUAGAUUAGUUUAAUCAUGCUAAUCAAUUAUAACUACAUAUAUUCUA